GAUAAAUGACGAUAAGCACUGGCUGAGGAAGCUGUUGUCUGUGGAGACAGCAUCCGUGUGUCCACUGACUCCUGUUGUCUCUUACUCUGUGCUGAUGGCACGUGCCAAACCCCACGUUGUCUCAGUGCCAGCUGACCACAGGAUCCAUCCAGCCGACUGCUUUGCGGUGAUGAAUUGCUGUAUUUGCUGCUGGCUGCAUAUGGCAGGUCAGACGCUGAGAAUUGGAUCAUCUGCCUUCAUUAUUCUUAUGGGAGCACAGAAGGAUCUGAAAACUGUGGUCAAGCCAGACGCUAAGCCCACUCGGAUAAUACACCUUUUAUUGAAGAGAAAGCUCUGACGAUUUCAGAAGUGCCCCGACAAACCUUCCGCCGUAUGUAAGUGUGAAAUCCUGACACCAAAAAAAUCAGUGACUGAAUAAUCCUUCCCAUCAGCACCGGGAUCUGAAUCAUUUCAUCAUCUCAGAAAUGGCCCCAGCACCUUCAGCAGCCCACACAGGCACCACACGAGCUGAGGUCGGCAGAGGGUAAGCACAGCUCAGGUCAUGGUGCUGCUCCUCGGCCAGAAAGCGCUGCGGAGCCCGCGCUGCUGCCCUGGUUCCCCAGCUGAACCGACAGGGAAGGGCAGAGUUAAUUACACCGUGCCACGCACUUAGGUCUACAGAGCCCCUCAUUUGAUGUUAUCCUCCUAUUUUAAUCGCUUAGAUUUCUAGAAAACAAAGUAAGGCACCAUGUAAAACAUCACUAUGGAAACAUCACAGGCUCACUCGCGCUUGACUGCCAAGCGACUACCUAACUGAAGUUUUACAUCCUCCUGGAUCGCUGCUGGCCAUCUGCUCUCCUUCAAACUUCUCCGAGUUCUUUAUAUCCCUGAAAAGUUCAUUUUUAGAAAGGAGAGAGGAGGAGAAAGAAAGGGGAGAAUCCAGCCUUCUUGGCCGACACAGAGCUAUUGUGAAAAAGGGAGAUAAAACUCACGCUGGGGCAGCCCCUUAAAAAGACAAAGCUCCGUGCUUUGUGAAGUCAUUCCGUAGAAAACACCCCACUUGGAGAUGCGCUUCCGCGAUAAGGGUAUCUAUUGGCAGCCAGGAGGCAAAACAAAUAAACAGCCGCUUCCAGUACUCUGGCACUGAUCGUCUUCCUCUCUCUUUCUCUCAUUUAGUGUCAAAUGUAUUUGCUCCUAAAACGUAGCAGUUGCUGCCUACACUGGAGUUGCUGGCUGCAGGCUCCCCGCUCUUUCUCCAAACAAAACACAGGAACGGAUUUCCUGCCAAGCACUGGAGAAGUUUGAAGGCUUCGGCUCUUAAACACACAUACCGUCUUUUUAUCGGUGCCCUGAGCCCUCCAAAGGUAAUUACGGGCCACGGCGCAUUAACGCGCAGGACCUACAGACAUUUCAAAACGCUUCACGGAGAAAAACUCCAUAAAAGCACAUAUUGAGAAAUAAAUUAAUU
rnacentral:lncRNA from 7 species